UAUCACUAAGCGGAGGAAAAGAAACUAACUAGGAUUCCCUCAGUAACGGCGAGUGAAGCGGGAAAAGCCCAGCACCGAAUCCCCUGGUCGUGCUUGCCAGAGGGAAAUGUGGUGUUUGGGACGCCGAUCCGGCGUCUGGUCCUGGUGCUCAAGUCCUUCUGAUUGGGGCCAUUCCCAGAGUGGGUGGCAGGCCUUUGGCGGCACGGGACCGGGCGUCUUUCGAGCGUCCUAGGAGUCGGGUUGUUUGGGAAUGCAGCCCAAAGUGGGUGGUAAACUCC
rnacentral:rRNA from 1 species